rnacentral:rRNA from 1 species
AUUUGGCUAACUGGAAUCAUGAGUGUGUCACUUGUGAUAAGGUAAAGGAAAAAUGAUGAUGUCACUUUACUAKUAGUGUUGUCCAAAGCUGGUGCCAGAAGACUCGGUAAUGCCAGAGACGCAAGCGUUAGUCAUCCUGAUCAGGCGUAAAGGGUUUGUAGGCAGCUUUAAAUUAAUUAAAGAUAGAAUCAUAUAGAGGUCACUUUCAGAUAAUUCUUAGAGUAGGGUUGAUAUCUGUAGAUACUAAGAGGAAUACUAAUUAGCGAAGGCACUUUUCCAAAUAAUGAUUGACGCUGAUAAACGAAGGGGAGGAUAGACAAUAGGAUUAGAUACCCUGGYAUCCCUCUCUGUCAACGAUGAAUGGUAGUUGCUAGUAUAAAUUAUUAGUGGCGAUGCUAACGCGUUAACCAUUCCGCCUUGUGAGUACGACUGCAAAGUUGAAAACAAAAAAAUUAGUCGGUUUCGGAGCAAACGAAGUGAAGCAUGUUAUUUAAUUC